CCUCUCAUGGCGUAGUGGUAACGCGCCCCAACUAGAGAUCGGGGAGUCGUGAGUUCGAUUCUCACUGAGAAUA
rfam:Aedes aegypti strain Liverpool supercont1.643 genomic scaffold, whole genome shotgun sequence.